rnacentral:lncRNA from 1 species
AGAGCAGCGGGAGCGCGGCGCAAGGGCAAAAUGGAUCGUUGGUACCCGGAAGCCCGUUCAAACUGUAUAAGGGUGAUCAGCUAUCACGGAGAAGGCUUUAGCAAGUCGGGGCCAGUGGCGCAAUGGAUAACGCGUCUGACUACGGAUCAGAAGAUUCUAGGUUCGACUCCUGGCUGGCUCGCGAUGUCUGUUUUGCCACACUUGACCCAUGUACUACUGGGUCUUGUAAAGAUGUAUAUUCACAAUGUGAAAGUAUUACAAGACCUUGGAAAGGUGUAUGGUUAGAAUGUGAAAGUUAAAUAUCUGAAAUUUUGAUGCCGCUUUGCUCACAAUGUCAUCCUUUAUCCUUUAAACCUGGAGUUGUCUGAGGUGGUUUGCAAACUGCAAAGCGCCCUGUUCCCAAUGAUGCACCUGAGAAGUCUGUAAAUGGGGUAAAUUUAGGCAAACACACCUGGAAAAGUGGCAUUUUGGAGUGGGGAAUGCUGUGGCCGGAGGUUAGCAACCGGAUGAUGCAAAAGCGUAUUUAAGGCAGCAGUUCUGGCCUUUCCCCGCCACGGAGCAGAAGCCCCCAUAGUGAUGUGAGAAGCGGCGCUGUCCCAGUUUACUAGGAUGGGAUGGGCUUUGGAUCUAACCAGCAGCGAAGAAAACCUGCGGUGCGGCUGCGCUCGGUAGUAGGGGUCCACAAAGCGUCAGAAUCUGCAGCAGCCCCGGCCUUUGCGAGCUCCAGCUCCGAAGUCAACCCGGCCCCCAAAUUCCACUGGGAAACCUUAAGACACCGGUGUUUUUACCGUAAGAAGACCUCAGAAGCCCAUGGAAACAAGGCGAUGACGGCGCUUGAGGGUGACCAGACCUCCUCAAUCAUUCCAUCAGCCACCCAGGACUCAACAGCAGAACCUCAGAGGACUCAGCUGAAAGAGGUUUUCACUCGAGCACUAACCACAGAGAAAUGGGAAGUGCCAUCCUGCUGUCAUACGCAGCCGAUGGCUGGGUAGGACUAAAUGCCCUUCUGUGGUGAGAUGAACCAAGACGGCAGAUGGGGGAAUAACAUCAGUGAGAGAGAGAUUACGAAUGGAUCCUUGUAUUGCAGAUCAAACUGGGUUGUCUCUUCUCAAACCACCCAGGCAGUUUCUGAAUGUCCCAAGAUAGGGGUAGGAGAAAAGAAAAAAAAGACAAAACAGGAGACGGUGGGUAAGAAAACCUAAAAGGCACAAUGAGGCAAAGGCCUAAGAUGGAGGCUGGCUUUGGGAUCUGAAAUCCGGCCACAAUCCUCCUUGUUUUACCUCAAGUCCAAGAAUUGUCAAAAAGAAAACCCAGAAGGGCUAUUCAUUCUAAAUUUUAAAAUCUUUUCUUCCUGGCCUACCAAGUCCUUGUGUUUUCUUUCUAGGCGCCCAUAAAUACAACCCCAUUACAGUUCUAUUUGGCUAAUAAUUUACAGAACAUUUAAAAUACCGGGUAGGUGAACAUCUCUUCAUGGCUUUUGUGUAAGGGCCUGAAGCGAAGAGAAAAACAACUGAUUGGAGAUUCCUAUCUGGCGCCUUCUCCAGGGAAACUGACAACCAGAGAAAUCUGUUGCUAGGAUUUCUAGGACAUCUGGAAAUUCCCUUUUUGUUCUUUCUCAACAAUAUAAAAUGGUAUAUUCGCAAACCUAUCUGAAUCACCUCAAUCUAGGCCACUUUGAAAAUUUCAUUUAAAAAUGUAAUCACAGAUUUUUAAACUAAUUACCCAAUUUGCAAACAAAUCCCAGCUACUUCUGGUCUUGAACAUGGAGCAAAGGUGUGUCAGUAAGGCCAACAUUCUUAGGUUGACAGAGACAGGUUAACACAUUGGCUGGCUUCAUUUACCCCCCUGCCACGCCCCACACUGAGCUGGAUGAUUUGAUGGGAAGAGAGGGUCCCCACCUCAGGGUUCACUUCCCCAGCCCCAGCGUUCAUGGGUUUUCAGGAGGAAACCCUGCCUCACCUAUUUCAAAUCU